rnacentral:rRNA from 1 species
CCUACGGGAGGCAGCAGUGAGGAAUAUUGGUCAAUGGCCGGAAGGCUGAACCAGCCAUGCCGCGUGAAGGUCAGUGCCCUAUGGGCGUUAAACUUCUUUUGUGCGGGAGCAAUAAUGGUCACGUGUGGCCAGACGAGAGUACCGUACGAAUAAGCAUCGGCUAACUCCGUGCCAGCAGGCGCGGUAAUCCGGGGGUUGCAAGCGUUAUCCGGAUUUAUUGGGUUUAAAGGGUGCGUAGGCUGUGAGGUAAGUCAGCGGUGAAAUGCCCCCGCUCAACGGGGUGAAGUGCCAUUGAUACUGCCUUGCUGGAAUGCGGAUGCCGUGGGAGGAAUGUGUGGUGUAGCGGUGAAAUGCAUAGAUAUCACACAGAACACCGAUUGCGAAGGCAUCUCACGAAUCCGCGAUUGACGCUGAUGCACGAAAGCGUGGGUAUCAAACAGGAUUAGAUACCCUGGUAGUC